CUUGCAGAGUUUCUUGGCAUUCUGUCCACCUCCAUUUGAUGUAUGUUUCUUUCUCUUGCAUUUUUUCACCACUACGAGGAGGUGGACAUACUGCCAACAGAGCUGUGUUGG
rnacentral:pre_miRNA from 1 species